ensembl:lncRNA
GGGACCUGUACCCCCAAAAUCCUUUUCUGGUUUCCUAAUUAGCUACACCUGCAUACAAGCAAUCACACCUGAGUCCCAUUAACCAACCAUGAUGGAGAGGGAAACUUUUUAAAAGGGCUGCACUGGCCUUGCUGUGUUUUUCAGGUACUUGAUUUGGUAGCAGGUGACAGAAGGUGCAGAGUUUGCUGCUUCCUACAGCUGAAGCCAUGGGUUUUCUAGUAAUAUGGUGCAUGCUGUUCUUGUUAGUUAUGGGAGGACCUCAAAUAAAUGAUCAGAAGGUGCUUGUUGCAGAUGAUCGAUUGGAUUUAAGUAGUCUUAACUCUGGGAAUGACACUUUGUAUGGCAGUGAGACAUUUGGAAAUCAUACAUCGCCCUUGAAUACAAAUAACCACAACACAACUAUGUCCUCCACUAACCAGUAUCACUCUGAAUCUGAAACCCUAAAACAGAAUGGCUCUGUGUCCAAAGAACCAAAGUCUGGUGUUCAGCCCCUACCAAAUCCACGGGCAUCUCAACCACGUCAGUGCAAACCCAAACAGUCACAGGUGCCCCAGCAACAACUAAAAGCUUCCUGCCCACCCAAGAAGCAGCCUUCAUGCCGACCCUGUCCGCCCCAGGGGUCUAGCUGCUGGCCCUGCCCACACAAGGAGCAGUCUGUCUGCCGGCCUUGCCCAACCUUGAGCUGCCAGCUAAAGCAGCCCCAAAAGCCAGAGUUGUCUGAGCAUGUUGGUGACCCAGCACUGUAUCAGCCUCAGGUGACCCAGCAGACUGGUUUGCAUCCACCCAGUCUACAUCAGGUGACCCAGCAGACUGGUUUGCAGCCACCCAGUCUACAUCAGGUGACCCAGCAGACUGGUUUACAUCCACACCAUCUACCCAGUCUAUUUCAGGUGACCCAGCAGACCAGUUUGCAUCCACACUUUCAACUUCAGGUGACAAAGCAGACUGGUUUACAUCCACAGCAUCCACAUCAGGUACCCCAGCAAACUGGUUUGCAUUCACACUCUCUGCCUCUGGCAAUGCAGCAGAAAGGCUUCCCACCCCUGCAUCCUCAGCCACCACAGGGCCCUCAGCAGGCUGCCUUUCUGCCCCAGCACCCCCAUCCACAGGUUCCCCAGCAGGCUGUCUUUCCAUCCCUGCACCCCCAUCCGCAGGUGCCCCAGCAGGCAGUCUUCCCGCCCCUGUACCUCCAUCCGCAGGUGCCCCAGCAGGCUGCCGUUCUGCCCCUGUACCCUCAGCCCAUGCCUCAGCAGACAUAUUACCAAUUCAAGCAGCUUCUGGAAGCCCAAUGGCCCCAACGGCCACUCUACCAGCUCCAGGCCAAGCAGCCACGCCACCAGCCUUUCAUGUCACACUACCAAUCCCGAUUGCCAAGCUACAGUCCCAAGGUGCCACUGUACCAGGCCAAGAAGCUUCAGCACCCCCGCAGAUCAGAUACCAACCUUAACGAUUUCAGAGCUUCAUGUCGGCACAUCAUCCUUGUGUUGAAGAAGAACCUGAGGGGAGCAGGGCACUGCAGUGUGGAACCCGCUGGACUAUUGGACUGACCUUUCAAAUGAACGUUUAGUUUGUGCUUUAGUCUUGAAUACCUGAUGUUUUGUAUGAUCUGUUUGAUGCCAAGUUUCUGAGAACCUUUGAAUGUUUUAAACAUGAAUCUUGAGGUUUGGUUUAGCUCAUGUUUUUGUUGUUGUUGUUUUUGUUAAGCCUGUGCAAAAAAUAAUCCACAUUCAACCAACACACCAGUGCUUUUCUCAGAUUUGUAGAUAUUCUUUGGUAAAUGGUGAAAAGCUGAUACCAAAACAGUCUCUGCAUUCUUUGAGAAACGGAUGUUGCAUCAUAACUGUUGUGACACGGGGGUUUAUGGUACCCACAUCCAAUCUAUUUAAGAUUUUUCUCUAUUUUAUGAUUGUGAUUAAUGGUUCUUAGAGGUUCUUUAGAUUUAUAAAGGUCUUAAAUUAGUGCACCUGUUUAGUAUAAGCUUGGUGGGGUAAGUGGGACCAGGUGCCCAGUUUCCCCAUGAAGCAGCCAAACAUUUAAAAUGCAAGUAUACCAAGCUGGGAGGCAGCACGUGCACAAGAAGCUACUGCAAUCUCUCAAUUUUUGCUCAAGCUGCAAAGCUGCUGGUGUCUGCUUUCCAGGUACAGCUUAAAUACUAACCAAAUCUGAAAGAGCACUGGACAAAGAUGGGAGUGUGUGUGAUUAAACUUUGCAGAUUAUUUUUAAUCCCUGUAUUCUCACUGUAACACUGAACAUGCCUAGUUUCUGUCAUUUGAACCAUUGUCAUCUGAAUUUGUCAUAUUAAAUUAAUAUAAAAG